rnacentral:rRNA from 1 species
GAUGAACGCUGGCGGCGUGCUUAACACAUGCAAGUCGAGCGGAAAGGCUCCUGCUUGCAGGGGUACUCGAGUGGCGAACGGGUGAGUAACACGUGGGUGAUCUGCCCUGCACUUCGGGAUAAGCCUGGGAAACUGGGUCUAAUACCGGAUAGGACCACAUUUUGGAUGGUGUGGUGGAAAGUUUUUCGGUGUGGGAUGAGCUCGCGGCCUAUCAGCUUGUUGGUGGGGUAAUGGCCUACCAAGGCGUCGACGGGUAGCCGGCCUGAGAGGGUGUACGGCCACAUUGGGACUGAGAUACGGCCCAGACUCCUACGGGAGGCAGCAGUGGGGAAUAUUGCACAAUGGGCGCAAGCCUGAUGCAGCGACGCCGCGUGGGGGAUGACGGCCUUCGGGUUGUAAACUCCUUUCGCUAGGGACGAAGCGCAAGUGACGGUACCUGGAGAAGAAGCACCGGCUAACUACGUG